rnacentral:lncRNA from 1 species
GGGCAGAAUCACCCACUGAGUCCCAGACACAAACUGCAUGAGGGUCUACACAGGUAAGAAGGUCGGUCUCCGAGGCCUGGGGCUCCAGGCCCCCUCAGCUCUGGGACCCUGAGCCCAGCCCCUGUAUCCCUCUGCCCUCCCAAUGGACUCCAGGCCCCUGCUGGGCACACUCACACUGCACAGAGAGGUCCAGGGCUCGCUGCUGGGAGCCAAGCCUGUUCUCCGCUCGGCAGGUGUAGCGCCCUGAAUCCCCAGCCUUCACCCCGGGCAGCUCCAGCCCCAGGGGUCUAGGGCCCCAGGGAUGGGACGAGGAGAGGACUCUGUUCUGCAGGACCCAGCUCAGUGUGGCAGGGGGCUGGCUGUCAGCAGCACAGAGGAGCCGCAGGAACUGGCCUUUUUGGGCUUCCAGGGAAAAGAAAGUGGGACUAUCCCGGGAAGACAAGUGACAACCAGCGCCAGGGCUCACGUGUGUGGACCAGACGCCAUUCCCAUCCCCCUCCCAGGGCUGCGGCGGCAUCCUGGGACCCCACAGCUUCCUCUCCCUGGAUGCUCCUGAGCUGGGAGCCGCUCACUGUCCCACUGGGCUCCUCCACCUCCCCACCCACCGGGGCUGUCUGCACACCCCAC